GGAGGUGUGGCUCAGGGGUAGAGCAUGUGUUUUGCAUAUACAAAUUCAUGGGUUCAUUUCCA
rnacentral:tRNA from 1 species